AGAGUUUGAUCCUGGCUCAGGAUGAAUGCUGGCGGCGUGCCUAACACAUGCAAGUCGAGCGGCAGCGAGUUUUACGCUGAAUUCUGGAAGCUUCUGGAUAAUAUAGAAGAUCUAUUCAAGAAUUUUGUGUAAAAUGUCGGCGAGCGGCGGACGGCUGAGUAACGCGUAGGAAUUUGCCCCAAAGUGAGGAAUAACUGCCCGAAAGGGUAGCUAAUGCCGCAUAUGGUCUUCGGAUUAAAGCCUUCGGGCGCUUUGGGAGAAGCCUGCGUUGGAUUAGGUAGUUGGUAGGGUAAUGGCCUACCAAGCCGACGAUCCAUAGCUGGUCUGAGAGGAUGAUCAGCCAGACUGGAACUGAGACACGGUCCAGACUCCUACGGGAGGCAGCAGUGAGGAAUCUUCCACAAUGGGCGAAAGCCUGAUGGAGCAACGCCGCGUGAAGGAUGAAGGCCUUCGGGUUGUAAACUUCUUUUAUGAGUGAAGAAUAUGACGGUAACUCAUGAAUAAGCACCGGCUAACUACGUGCCAGCAGCCGCGGUCAUACGUAGGGUGCAAGCAUUAUCCGGAGUGACUGGGCGUAAAGAGUUGCGUAGGCGGUUUAAUAAGUGAAUAGUGAAACCUGGUGGCUCAACCAUACAGACUAUUAUUCAAACUGUUAAACUCGAGAAUGGUAGAGGUAACUGGAAUUUCUAGUGUAGGAGUGAAAUCCGUAGAUAUUAGAAGGAACACCGAUGGCGUAGGCAGGUUACUGGGCCAUUUCUGACGCUAAGGCACGAAAGCGUGGGGAGCGAACCGGAUUAGAUACCCGGGUAGUCCACGCCGUAAACGAUGGAUACUAGCUGUUGGAGGUAUCGACCCCUUCAGUAGCGAAGCUAACGCGUUAAGUAUCCCGCCUGUGGAGUACGGCCGCAAGGCUAAAACAUAAAGGAAUUGACGGGGACCCGCACAAGCGGUGGAUUAUGUUCUUUAAUUCGAUGAUAACCGAAGAACCUUACCAGGGCUUGACAUCCAGGGAAGGUCUGCGAAAGUAGACUGUGCCUUUUGGAACCCUGUGACAGGUGAUGCAUGGCCGUCGUCAGCUCGUGUCGUGAGAUGUUAGGUUAAGUCCUUCAACGAGCGCAACCCUUGUGAAUAGUUGUAUUUUUCUAUUCAGACUGCCCCGGUAACGGGGAGGAAGGAGGGGAUGAUGUCAGGUCAGUAUUUCCCUUACGUCCUGGGCUAGAAACGUAAUACAAUGGCUAGU
rnacentral:rRNA from 1 species